rnacentral:rRNA from 1 species
GGGAAUUUUCCGCAAUGGGCGAAAGCCUGAUGGAGCAAUCCCGCGUGCAGGAUGACACCCUUCGGGGCGUAAACUGCUUUUCUGAGGGAAGAAAUUUUGACGGUACCUCAGGAAUAAAGGGCGGCUAAUUACGUGCCAGCAGCCGCGGUAAUACGUAAGCCCUAAGCGUUAUCCGGAAUUAUUGGGCGUAAAGCGUUCGAAGGCGGACUGGUCAGUCUGACGUUAAAUACCUGCGGCUCAACCGAGGUCUCGUGUCGGAUACUGCCAGACUUGAGGAAGGCAGAGGCAGGUGGAAUUUCCAUUGUAGGGGUAAAAUCCGUAGAUAAUGGAAGGAACACCAAAAGCGAAGGCAGCCUGCUGGGCCUUUCCUGACGCUGUGCGAACGAAAGCGUGGGGAGCAAAAGGGAUUAGAUACCCCUGUAGUCA